rnacentral:rRNA from 1 species
ACGGAGGAUGCGAGCGUUAUCCGGAUUUAUUGGGUUUAAAGGGUGCGUAGGUGGACUGUUUAGUCAGUGGUGAAAUGCUGAUGCUCAACGUUAGCAUUGCCGUUGAAACUGACAGUCUUGAGAGUGAUUGAGGCAGGCGGAAUGUGUGGUGUAGGGGAAAAAAACAUAGAAACCACACAGAACCCCGAUGGCGAAGGCAUUUUCCAAAGCCACAACUGACACUGAAGCACGAAAGCGUGGGGAUCAAACAG